ACUAUGUAUGCUCUGAAUCACCAUUCAAUAUAUGGUGCUGGAUAACAGCCAGGAUUCAUGGGUCCAGAAAUCAAGGGGUGGAAGUGAAAGUGGCACCACUCAACAUCACCCCUACUGAACCACUAGCAAAAUUUUUCUUCCUGUUCUCACAACUUUAUGUUCUUCUGGCCUAGAAGUCUUAGUUCCAGAGGGAGGAAUGCUGCCACCAGGAGACACAACAACGAUUCCAUUAAACUGGAAGUUAAGAUUGCCACCUAAAUAGUUUGGGUUCCUCUGACCUUCAAGUCAACAGGCUGAGAAGGGAGUUACAGUGCUGGCUGAGGUGACUGACCCUAACUAUCAAGAUGAGAUCAGUCUACUACUCCACAGUGGAGACAAGGCAUUUCUCCCUCUGAAUGAUGCCACAAAAAGACCCUCACCAGAUGCUGGCACCUUGAUCUUGAACCUCCCAUCCUCCAGAACUGAGCCAUAUGAAGUGAUACAUGCCCAAAACAGACAAAAGUUAUUCUGGGAUGAAUCUAGGCUGAAGAAGCAACUUCUAUAUCAGUCUCAAGGACAAAGAAAAAGAGAGGCUGGGAAGACCAUGUGGUGUCUCUUAAAGCAUCUUCUCAGAAAUGCCACUUUUGCUCACAUUCCAUUGGGUAAAACAAAACAUUUGGCCAAAUCUGAAGUCAACAAGAAAUAUAUAAUUUUUUUCAAGUCAGUAGAAAUAUAUAAUUUUUCCUUUGGGAGGGACCCUAAUAGAAAAUGGCAGCAUACAUUUUGAAUAAAACAAUCUAUCACAAGCCUAAAUUUUUUAUGUAUAUCUAUGUACAGGCAUAUUUGUGUGUGUACAUAUGUGCACAUGUGUGUGUUUAUAUAUUUUUUAUAGAUAAUCAGAAAGAAACACAAUAUGAUGCAAAUGGAGGCCCUAAAUUAUUUUUGAUAUACAAAUAAAAAUAAGCCCUUAAAUUUCUUAAUAAGGAGCUCAGUGUGACCAAAGUUGAGAAACUGGUUAGGCCAAUAGCUAAAUUUUAAGAGUUGAGGAGAUAAGAGCUGAAAAAAACAGACUAAAGUUAAGAAAAGAAGAGAGACAGUAUAGCAGCUGAAGGAGUUUAAUGGAUGAUAGAAAUGAGACAGUAUAGGAAAGGGAUUCAGCCCUGGUAGACCAGAGAUGAUAAUCAAGACCCCAUGAGCCUCACAUAUCAAGGCAUAUUCUCCCCUACCUUUCCAUCUCCCUUAAUAAGCUGACCCAAGUCACAUAGCAGAAGGAGGACCUCUCCUAACUUAGCUGACUAGGCCAAAUUCAUAAACAUCAAAAAAGAAACUAACCGUUUAUCUCUUUGAAGUGAUACCUCCCCAGGUUACUAAAAGUGGACUCUAGCAUUCCUAUUAAGAACCUGACCAUCUUCCACGUUUACUGAAGUGAGGUUCUGGCAUUCCUGAUAAGAAAUGGAACAGAUCCAGUCUGCUAAAGACAAGAAGGACUCCAACACUGACCUUUCACUGAUGUUUUCCUCAUUAUAAUCCCAUCUUAAUACUAAAAUCUUCACCCAAGGCGGAACUUAUCCACCAUUUUCUGGUCAUGCAAUGUAUAUCAGAGCAUGAUGCUCCAUUACACAAGCGCAAAGAAAAUUUUCCCUAAACAUGCUUGUAUGUUACUCCAUUUUCUGCCUCAGCUUCUGAAAUGAUGACAGCCGAGCCUCAGGGAGCUAGCGCCAAGAUCCCUCUCCCAUAAACUGCGCCCCUGCUUUGACUGAGCCACAAGCCUACUAAACCUUGCCUGAGAAAAAAAUGUCUAUUUGGUUUGGUGUUGAUUUCCACUUCCGUGAGACUCAAAGAACUUGGGAUACAAGCUACAGUAACAGAAGUCUUCUUUACGUUUAUUGACUAAAGUAAAAAGUAAAGAUUGCUGAGGGUUUAAUAGCAUCAAAGAGUUAAACCAUAGAAGAAUUCCUCUUCUACUGAAACUGUAGCAUAAGGGUAAGCAUGAAUCUUAUUAUUGCAAAU